rnacentral:lncRNA from 1 species
UGGUAAGAAGAAGAGUAGUACUCUGGGGAAGUCAUCUAGGAAGAAGGAGGACUCUGAUGACGAUGGUUCAGAUUCUGGGAGGAAGAAGAGAGGAAGGUCGAAGAAAAGGAGGAUUAAGAAGAGGGGAAGUAGCGAUUCAGAGGAUGGGGAUGAGGAUAGGAGGAAGAGGAGGAAGGAGAAAAGGAGGAAGAAGAACGAGUCAUCAGAUGAAGAGGAUGAUCGGCAACGCCGUAAGAGGAAGAGUAGGAAGGAAAAGAGGAGAAGGAGAAGUCAUCGGCAUUCUGAUGAUUCUGACUCAGAUGAGCAU